UACGUAGGCGGAAAAUUAAGUCAGUAGUGAAAUCCUGCAGCUUAACUGUAGAACUGUUAUUGAUACUGGUUUUCUUGAAUAUAGUUGAGGUAGGCGGAAUGUGUAAUGUAGCGGUGAAAUGCUUAGAUAUUACACAGAACACCGAUUGCGAAGGCAGCUUACUAAGCUAACAUUGACGCUGAGGCACGAAAGCGUGGGGAGCGAACAGGAUUAGAUACCCUGGUAGUCC
rnacentral:rRNA from 1 species